rnacentral:rRNA from 1 species
GAUGAACGCUGGCGGCGUGCCUAAUACAUGCAAGUCGAGCGAAUGGAUUAAGAGCUUGCUCUUAUGAAGUUAGCGGCGGACGGGUGAGUAACACGUGGGUAACCUGCCAUAAGACUGGGAUAACUCCGGGAAACCGGGGCUAAUACCGGAUAACAUUUUGAACCGCAUGGUUCGAAAUUGAAAGGCGGCUUCGGCUGUCACUUAUGGAUGGACCCGCGUCGCAUUAGCUAGUUGGUGAGGUAACGGCUCACCAAGGCAACGAUGCGUAGCCGAACUGGGAGGGUGAUCGGCCACACUGGGACUGAGACACGGCCCAGACUCCUACGGGAGGAAGCAGUAGGGAAUCUUCCGCAAUGGACGAAAGUCUGACGGAGCAACGCCGCGUGAGUGAUGAAGGCUUUCGGGUCGUAAAACUCUGUUGUUAGGGAAGAACAAGUGCUAGUUGAAUAAGCUGGCACCUUGACGGUACCUAACCAGAAAGCCACGGCUAACUACGUGCCAGCCGCCGCAGUAA